rnacentral:tRNA from 1 species
AAGGGAGACCUAAUUCAGGUAGGAGACGAAAAAAAAGUAGUCGCUACCAAGAAUCAAUCCCAAAAGGUCGGAACGAGGUAUGUGGCUUUCAAACUAGGUUCUGGGUUCAUAAAAGACCUGAAUCAGGAACAAGGGCUAUUAGCUCAGGUGGUUAGAGCGCACCCCUGAUAAGGGUGAGGUCCCUGGUUCGAGUCCAGGAUGGCCCACCUGCACAGGUGGCAAAAACAAGAGAAGCUCCGAAUCAGCACCUUAUCUUACUUAUAUAGUAAGAGAGAAUGCUGGCUCUGAGUACAGAGUCCAGAGGAACCUUGAAAACUGCAUAGAGCUAGGUGAAAAAGCCAAAAAAGAAGACCGCAA